AAGUGUAGAUGGAAUACUUCAGACAGAUACGUUACUGACGCUUCGUGGGAUGCAUUUAUUGCAAGAUGCUGUGCAGUGAGCUGUUCAUUGAUGUAAUGUUCCUGGUUUGCAAGUUUGCUCCACAAAAGAAAGUGAUCCAGGAAAUAUAUGAAAAUGAGGAUGUUCAUGAUUCAAUGUCCAAAACUAAAGCCUUCAGGAAGACAUUGAAAACACUUCUGGAGACUUUAAGAAACUGCCUUUGAGAAGAUAUCUGGCAAGGCGACCUACAGUAUGGCCUGGUUUAAAGGGAGCACGUUCAAACUACAGCAGUUUAAUGAUGCAUCUACCUUUUCCUGUGAAAUCUUCCUUUGUGUUGUACAUGCAUUUAAUUCACUGGAUUUGUUUUUUAUUGUUUAAAAAGAGAAAGUAGUCAUACUUAUACUUGAUUAUUUUAUUGUAAUAUUGGACCCAUAAACUGAUUAUUUUCAAUCAACAUUUAAUUUUGUUCUUACACAAACAAUCUGUACAACAGACAUUGAAUGAAACAACAUUUACAGCACAGUAAAAAAAAAAAAAAAACACAGGCUUAAUUUCCAUAAUUUAAUAGCCUAUGAGAACAUUAAGUGGUUGCACAUAGAUUGACACCGGGAACGUUUAAAAAUCACAUUUAUGUGUCACCAAGUCAACUCAGGACUUCUCUCACAAUUCAGAUGGCAAUUGUUAUUCAUAUAGACAUAUGUAAAAAAUUAUUUACAUGGCACCUCAGUGAUAACUCAUAUAUUUGAUGAUUUAUUCACAGUGGAGAAGAAAGAUGUGAGAUCAUUAUGAACCUAGGAAUGCACUGCUGACAUGGCCAGUUGCAUAGUCGUCUGCUCUAAAUAAAAUGCCAUACUCUUGGAAUAAAAGAUUUAAAUGUAAUACUAUACUAUUUAUUAUUUAUUUAAAUCUCUGGUUUAAAAAUAGGAAAAUAGACCCAAUAUAGCUGAAAUGGUUCUUAAUUUUUAUCUCUCAAAAUGAUGGGUGUCAUUAAAAAUGUGGAGAUUAGCAUUAAUAAGUAAAUGCAACUUCUUAUUUACAUGAGGUAAACAAAGCUGCUUGGUUCGCAUUUUCAAGUACGUAACUGUAGGCCUAUACAUAUUUAAAAAUGGUAUUGUAUACCUGUUACUGCCAUAAUAAUUACCCAUUUCAAAUAUUUACAUGCUUUUCUGGUCUUUUUUGUUCUUAACAAGCAUCCAAUCACUGUGAUGGAGCAGUUCUGAAAUAGUAUUCUUGUAAACAUUCUAGCAUU